AGCAUCCGCAAAGGAGGAUUUAACAAAUCCUUAGCGCGAUAACAUAGGUUAAUUGGAUUAAAAUAUUAAUACAUAUACUCGAUUACGGAAGGAUUGAUCCUUGAACAAGGAUUAGAAGGAUCAAGUCCUUGUGUACGUGUCCGUCGGUGAUAGGUAGAGGUUUUGUUUGUGUUUGGCAACGAAGAUCAACAUCUCUCUCUCUUUCCAGGCAACGAAGAUCAACAUCCAUGGCGACUUGAAGAUGCCUCGAUACGAUGAUCGUUACAGCAGCAAUGACCGAUACGGCGGCGCACGUCUCUGUGUGGGACACCUCUCCUCUCGAACAAGAGAACGCGAUCUUGAACACCUCUUCAGCAAAUACGGAAGGAAAGGGUGAGAUCGUUUAGAAAGGAUGAAGACCUGGAACUCAGGUUGCUAACUUGCAGGGGAUAUGGAGCAGAGACGUUCAGCUGCCAUGGGAUGGUGCUCCUCACCUGAACAUUAAUCUCCAGAUGAACUAUUGGCAUUCUCUUCCUGCUAAUAUAAGGGAAUGCCAAGAACCGUUGUUUGAUCAUAUGUCUGCUUUAGCUAUCAAUGGCCGCAAGACAGCACAAGUAAGUUUCUAUCCUUUUUGUAUUGAUGGUUACAUUGUUGACAUCAAUGUGUGAAGUUUAAUCGAAGAUGAACAAGAUAUCAGACUUUUGUUGUGAAACUGUGUUGUUCUUGCAAACAAAAGUGUCACAGAACAUAAACACAUUUGAUCAUAUUGCUAAUUUUUUUUUUAUUCCUAAGGAUUCAAAAUUAAAAAACACCAUUGGACCUUCUAUUUUCAAUAGAAUCCUUAACUAUUCUAAAAAUAAAAAAAAAUUAGUUUAAUAAUCUUAAGGACUCUAAUGGUGAUAACACCAUUGGAGAUGCUCUUAAUGUUUUAGUUAGUGACACUGACACAACACCCAUCAAAAGAGUCUUUGUUUUUCUUCUUCCCACAAACUAAAAUUCCUUAUAGGUUUUUUUUAAUUAAAGAUAGGAUCCAACACCUAAAUACUAAAAAGAACACUCCU